GAAGUAUGCUAUCGAGAUUCGACUAAGCCAUGCGAGUUGAAUGUUCUUCGUGAACAUGGCGGACUGCUCAGUAACACGUGGAUAAUCUACCCUGGGGAGGAGGAUACUCCCGGGAAACUGGGGUUAAUACUCCAUAGCAAUGAUGCACUGGAAUGUCAUCGUUGCGAAAGAUCCGUCGCCCCAGGAUGAGUCUGCGUCCGAUUAGGUAGUUGUUGGGGUUACUGCCCAACAAGCCGAUAAUCGGUACGGGUUGUGGGAGCAAGAGCCCGGAGAUGGAUUCUGAGACACGAAUCCAGGCCCUACGGGGCGCAGCAGGCGCGAAACCWUUACWAUGCGGGCAACCGUGAUAAGGAAACCCCGAGUGCCCGUAAGAGCGGGCUGUCCAUCUGUUUAACCGCCAAGUGAACAACUGGUCGGGCAGGACCGGUGCCACCCGCGCCGGUC
rnacentral:rRNA from 1 species